AUGAGAAGGUGGAAUGUCUUCUGGGCUGAUGCCAAAUCAUGUAGUUCUUACAAUUACUUUGGUGAUGUGGUUGCUAUUAAUGUCACAAACUUCAGUGAUCAAUAUGAUAUACAGUUUGUGUCAUUUGUGGGCACUAACCACCACGCUCAACCACUGUUACUAGGCCGUGGUUUGCUUGCUGGUAGAUUUCUUGGAGCUUACGUGUGGAUUUUUGAUACAUGGUUAAGAUGCAUGAAUGCCUCAUCACCACCUUCAAUAAUUACCAACUAUUAUCAUGAUGUUGCGAUAGCUGUUAAAAAGGUUUUCCCCAAUUCACGACACCGCUUUUGCCUUUGGCACAUUUUAAAUGAGCUUCCUGAGAAGUUGGCCGGAAUGGGAAAGAACGAUGAAAUGAUUUCUGCUUUCAGCACAUUAGCCUAUGACUCAGUUACUAUGCUUGAUUUUAACAAAGAGUGGCAAGAAAUGACGCAUCAAUUUCAGUUGGAGGGAAAUGGAUGGCUGUCCAAAUUAUACGAGGUCAGGGCACAGUGGGCUCCUGCUUAUGUGAAGGAUUUUUUUUGGGCGGGAAUUUCCAUCAUAGACAGAAGUGACGGUGCAACUGACUAUUUUGAUGGGUGGUUAAUGUCUGGUAUGUUUGUGCAAAUGGUUGUUAAGCAGUAUGAGGCAGUUGUUAGAACUAAGUUAGAAAAGGAAACCCAUGAGGAUUUGCAAUCGUCUUAGAUGAGGCCACAAAUGAUUGGAUUGCCUAUGGAGGAGCAAGCAGGAAAGGUGUACACAAUGGAGAUAUUUCAAACUUUCUUGAAUGAAUUAGGGCAUUCAUUUCACUGCAUGAUACUUGAUCGGAGUGAUUCAGUAGUUACAUACAUAGUAUCAAAGCAUGUAAAUCAAACAAAGGUGGACUACAAAGUUGCUUAUGACAAUGCUAAAGAUGAUAUAUGGUGUUUCUGCCGCUUGUUUCAAUUUAAAGGUAUAUUGUGCAGACAUGCUCUCACUCUACUAAGGCAGGAGCUUGUACCGAUGAUUCCAUCAAAAUACAUCAUUCAUCGCUGGUGUAAGGAUUGUAAACUAACUUGUUCUUCCAUGUCCCGAGACGUCUCAUUAAGUACUCAGGAAUUGGGAGGUUAUGAUGAUCUCUACAAACUAGGCAACCAAUACUUUGCAGAAGUUGUGGAACUGGGUUCUGUGAACUCAGAAUCAAAAGAUUAUGCUUUGUCAGUCACGAGGGAGAUCAGGGAUAAAGUGAUUUCUUAUGAGAAGUCACUAAGAGAUCAAAGAGUCGAUAGUCAAGUUUCAACUGCCAACUUUGCAUAUAAUCCAGUGAAUGAGGAUUUUACUGAUGAUGCAUUACCAUUUCUCUUAGUACAAGGUUGGGAUCUCAUGCAAGGUCAGUCAAAACGUUCGUGCAAGAAGAAACUGACGCCAACAGUUCUUGAUACCCUGAAAAAGAAAACUAAAAGGGCCUUUACCAAGAGGAGGAAUGCCACUGCGAACAACCUAUGCACAAUGGUCACUGCAACUGACAACAUAACAGAAAGCGCAAAUGUUCAGCAAGAUCAAGUAAAUGAGGGAUGGCCAUCAACAUCUAGUGGUGCACCAGAUACCUUCCCAUACGAAGUGGAGACCAUAUCUUUCGAUUUGACACAAUACAACAAUGAGCCAAGCUUCCAUUGGCCUGAAAGCAGCAGCAGAUCUCAGCUUCAGUGA
rnacentral:rRNA from 1 species